AGCCUCUACUCAAUGCAGAACAGUUAAACGCUGCCAAUGAACAGGUUCCGAACAGGUUCCGUUUGGUUUUCCAUUUCACUAUUAUUCUAAAACAUUUUUUGUACAAUGUUAAACAGCACGAGGAAAAACCAUUCAAUUAAGUCACUAGAUGUUUCUUGAGACAUAAAAUUGCAAAAAAACAACAACAAAAAAUUCUGAUAAGUAGAACAAAACACUUUAAAUCAACUUGAAUUGUUUUGUUUUUGUGAGGGUGGCGCUGUGUACACGUUUGGAGUUGUUUUGUGGUCAUAACUUUACAGUAUAAUAAGCUGUGAUGAAAAGGUAACAUGCCAGAUGGUAGCUAGAGAAACAAGCAUGGUCUUUAUUCAACCACUUCUGUGUCAGUCAGACCAACGCUGAAUUGAAUGACAUUCCAACAUUUUAUGUGCACUUUGCAGGACAUAUAUCAGUUACAGAAAGGCGAAGGAGGAGGCGUAACGUAACAGUAACAAGGAACAGAACAGGAGAAGUACCAGAAUCGGUCGGGAUUCUGAAUGGAUGGUAAAAAUUAAUAUUAUUACGCUUUGUAAAUUCAGUAACUUCCCUCCUCUGUAACUAUGUAAAUGUAGCUCUGGUCCAGGGCGUGGUUCGGGCUACUCUCAGCUCUGGUCCAGGGCGUGGUUCGGGCUACUCUCUCACGACGACGAUCGUUGGAGCACAGAGCUGGACCAGAGCUACUGUAAAUGUGUUCAUCAGAGGAGGUCUUCAGUUUCACCACUGUAACCUCACCAUAACCUGUUCACUACUGUAACCUCACCAUAACCUGUUCACUACUGUAACCUCACCAUAACCUGUUCACUACUGUAACCUCACCAUAACCUGUUCACUACUGUAACCUCACCAUAACCUGUUCACUACUGUAACCUCACCAUAACCUGUUCACUACUGUAACCUCACCAUAACCUGUUCACUACUGUAACCUCACCAUAACCUGUUCACUACUGUAACCUCACCAUAACCUGUUCACUACUGUAACCUCACCAUAACCUGUUCAC
rnacentral:lncRNA from 13 species